AUUACACCCAAAACACCAAUCUUCUGACCUUAUUUGAUCCAAUCUGAAUCACAUCCAUGCAAACUCAAAACAUAAAAAGCAAAUCCUUAAUAAUGCCAAGAAAGCAAUAAUUUCUUUUUCCUUUUAAUAACAAACUCAAAAUGAAUUAAACAAAGCCCAAUAAAAUCGGAACAUCAUCAAAAACAUGAAAUCAAACCCACAAAUCUAAAAUAAAAGCGAAAAAAAGUGUUUCAUAGUUGUUACGAUGAUUAGAUGGGACAAAUCUGGACUACUGGGUCUAUGGUCAAAGAGAUGCAGAAAAGUCUAGGUGAAGACUGAAGAGAAUGGAGUGACCAGAAGGAACACCAGUUUCGAAGAUCCAAAGGCAGUUUGUUUUGCAGCAGCAACAACAUCAACAACCUUUGCCACAGCUGCAACUUUUACAGCAACAAUAUCAGCAACACCCACAGUUGCGGUGAGGGACAAGUGACUGGAGACUUGAGACGGGUGAGGGAUUUGCCUAAACUCCUCAGAAAUUGAUGAAGAAGAACUGAAGAAGGAUGGAGGGUUUGAUUUAGGGCUUUUGAUUUUUUAUUUGGGGGGUUUGAUUUCGGGAUAGGAAUUAGGAAAUAGGAAUGAUAUUUUGAUUUGGGAAAAAC
rnacentral:lncRNA from 1 species